GGCGGUAUAGCUUAGUUGGCUAGAGCGUUCGGUUCAUACCCGAAAGGUCAUAGGUUCGACUCCUAUCACCAGCUCCA
rnacentral:tRNA from 1 species